GACGAACGCUGGCGGCGUGCUUAACACAUGCAAGUCGAGCGGUAAGGCCCUUUCGGGGGUACGCGAGCGGCGAACGGGUGAGUAACACGUGGGUGACCUGCCCUUAGCUCUGGGAUAAGCCUGGGAAACUGGGUCUAAUACCGGAUAUGACUCCAUGACGCAUGUUGUGGGGUGGAAAGCCUUGUGCGGCUAGGGAUGGGCCCGCGGCCUAUCAGCUUGUUGGUGGGGUGAUGGCCUACCAAGGCGACGACGGGUAGCCGGCCUGAGAGGGCGACCGGCCACACUGGGACUGAGACACGGCCCAGACUCCUACGGGAGGCAGCAGUGGGGAAUCUUGCGCAAUGGGCGAAAGCCUGACGCAGCGACGCCGCGUGAGGGAUGACGGCCUUCGGUUCG
rnacentral:rRNA from 1 species